GGAUUUUCCAGGCAAGAAUACUGGAGUGGGUUGUCAUUUCCCUCUCCAGGGGAUUGUCCCAACUCAGGGAUCGAACCCGGGUCUCCCACAUGGCAGGCAGACGCUUUGCCAUCUGAGCCACCAGGGAAGCUAAGGGAUAGAAGAGAGUGUUAUUUUAGCCAUACUGAGGACUAGUCUGGGAGUUCAGUCUCUACCAAGGAAGAAAGUGCUCCGAAGAUACGUAGCAUUCAGCACAGUUUUAUAUCUCUCAGAACAAAAGCAUACAUCAAACAUGACAAAUAUUCCUUCAAGUUUUCAAAAGAAAGAAAUUAGCAUGUAUACAGUAAGUCAGUAUGGCCUUGGCAUCUGGGAAGGGAGUCUUUCAGGGAGCACUAGCAUCAGUGUCAUAGGAAGGGCGGCAUUAAUCCCUGCCCUCAAAGUAGAUGUUCUUUUUACUUCAGGACAAUGCAUUCUCUUAAUCUAUGGUUAAAGCAGGUGUGCAAUGGAUGUUGGACAAGCCAAAAGCCAAGCUGUUCUAGUUGCAGGCAGUGACUGUUGUUGACUGUGAGCAGGUCCCUGGUGUCGGUAGACUUUCUGCAGCUCAGUGUGUUAUUGAGGCUUAUGCUUUCCAGAAAAGAAAGUAAAGUCCUUCAGGGUCACCAUCUAUAGUAAUUCAAAGAGACCUAGAGAGAGACCUUGUUAGUUUGUCUUUUCCAUGACAAAGAUCAUUUUCUUAUACCUUGUGAUGGAGCAUCUCUUGAUGGGGUGCAUUGCCACAGCCCCCCUCUCUCAAAGUGCCCCGACACAGUACAGUUUGGUUGGGAAGGAAGAGAAAAAAGGGGAGGAGAGGGCCCAGUAUUUGGUGGGAGGCUUUAGAACUGGUGCCCUCCCACUGACCCAUUUGGGGAUCUUGAUGGUAUUUGUCUACUGGGUUACCAGAAAGGCUGCUUCCUUAGAGUGGGGACUCUACCAAUGAAAUGCCAGGAAGCCAUCCAAUGGCCCACCCAGUCACCCUUUUCCUGGGCCCCAUUUAUCUACAUUUACUCUUGUCUUACAUGUCUCCACAAUCUCUCAGAUUUGGCAAGAGAACAGUGUCAUAAGCCAGUUGUGUUAGUUGGCUUUGGAUUCAUCAACUCUGAUUUGCUUGAAAAGUGCAUCUCUUUUGAUAGGCAAUUAGGGCCUUUCUAGUACCUCAAGUGCACCAGCACCAUCAGUGUGACAUUCUUUGUUGAUGCAACUGGAUUCUGCAGGAGCAAAACACCUCCCUAAAUGUCAGUUCACUCCUGUCAGAGAAGGAGGCCACUGGACCAUCUGGAAGAGCAGUGGAAGAUCCAUUGUCAGAGAAUUUUGGCCACACUAGUGGUGGCCUUCCUACACUCCUACUCUGCCCAGACUGGUAGUUUCUCUCACUGCUGGAAGCCUCCAACUAUUAAAAAGUUCUAUGCAACCUGCCAUAGGCCCUUGUUGAAGUUAUUAAUGAUACUUUUGGGGCAUUGAAGGCACAACAGAACAGCCCCCACUCCUUGGCCUGAGUAGC
rnacentral:lncRNA from 1 species